UUCACCUUCACCUUCACCUUCACCUCCCCUCUAGUACUUCCUGGGAUAUGCAUCUCACAUCAUGGGAGACUGUUAAACAGCAGUUGAAGCUGUUAAACUGUUAAGCAACUGUUUAAUUUUACAUCCGAUACCCUGGGAAAGAUGUGUCUUGUGUUUCAGUUCAGACAAGAAGAGGGCUAGCCAAGUCACAAUGGGAACUAUGACAGGGCUCCCUCAUGACCAGAGUUGUGUGGCAUUAGCAGAUACUGCAUAAGUAUGGACAUACACAAACUGGUGCGUUCAUGCAAACAGUAAGCUUCCUGCUCCAGACCUGGCUUUGCUGGACUAGCCACAAUAAAGGUUGCAAGUAUGUCUGAACAAGCCUGGAACCAGGGUGCUUUUGGAUCUAGCACCUGAAGCAGAUCUUCCUGCACCUUCUGAAGGCCAUGCUCACCACACCAGAUGAUGACACAGUUUAGCCUCCAUCACUUUGGCGAGCUGUGCAGCUUUUCUGCUGCCGGGUCAGAGCAAGUCCCCAGGCAUGUAAUUUCUGGUUGCUGACAUUAGCUUUGAAAAAGCAAACCAAAUAAAGAAACAAACAACAGAUCUGACCAGACAGCAUGGAUCCACCAAAGGAAAGUCAUAUGUAACCAAGCUGAUAAACUUCCUUGAUGAAAAGACUAGCCUGGUAGACCCAGGGAGAGCAGUGGAUGUUGUCUACCUGAACUUCAGUAAGGCUUUUGACACUGUCUUCCUUGCUGUCUGGACUGGAUCCCUCAGCCUUUUUCAUGUCCUGCGUAAUGUGGUUCCCCUUCGUAUUCAGCAAUGGGUCCACAUUUUCCCCAACCUUACUUUUGUUACCUAGGUACUUUUAGAGUCCUUUCUUGUUGUCUUUGCCAUCCCUGAACAGAUACAAGUCCAUAUGGGCAUUGGCUUUCUUAAACUCAUACCAGCAUGCUCAAACAAUGUCUCUAGAUUCCUUCCAGGUUAUCUGUACCUGCCUCCACACUCUGCGUGCUUGCUUCUUGUGUUUGAACUUGGCUGCCUUUGACUGUCAUAUCCCCAGUGAGCCCCUUCUUGUUGGUAAGAGGUCCAGCAGAGCGUCCUACUCUGGAGACUUGGAGAUGGAGGUUAUCAUCACACCCCAGCUGGACAAAGCCCUGAGUAUCUUGGUUUGACCCCAUAGCUGAUUCUGCUUUUGGGCAUAAGCUUGCACCACAGACCUUUCAAGGUCCCCUCCAAACAUGUUGAUUAUGUGAUGUUAUCUUCAUGACAGAUUUACUUUAGGAUGGCCAUUGGUAGAGUGCAUGUCAAUAAAUUACA